rnacentral:rRNA from 1 species
AAUGGCGACCGGGGCACGGUGGAGUAACACGUAUCCAACCUGCCGAUAACUCGGGGAUAGCCUUUCGAAAGAAAGAUUAAUACCCGAUGGUAUAAUCAGACCGCAUGGUUUGAUUAUUAAAGAAUUUCAGUUAUCGAUGGGGAUGCGUUCCAUUAGGCAGUUGGUGAGGUAACGGCUCACCAAACCUUCGAUGGAUAGGGGUUCUGAGAGGAAGGUCCCCCACAUUGGAACUGAGACACGGUCCAA